CGUUUAUUUGGUAUAACUCGGCAUGCCUCCUUGCAAACAAGUGCUGUAUAUAAAUUGCGCAGAACAUGGAGGCGCCACUCAUCAGAACACAAAGAUGGCGAUCAGAGGUCUGUUGCUGGCGAUGAUUAUGUAUGCGUUGAUUCUCGUAGCGCAGGAUGCUGGCAUGCCUAGUGAGAACACCACCCCAUGUCCAAUGGAACAAACUGCCAUGUAAGGUUUAGAACCCACGACUUUAUCAGAACCUCGAAACCCA